rnacentral:lncRNA from 1 species
CGGACCAGAUCAUUAGUAACGCUGACCCGAUCCAAUUCUUUGAUCAAGUUUUAAUGUUGGAUUCAGAUUCAAUCUAAUAAAAAAUAGGUCGAAUUGGAUUGGAUCCAUGGCCAAAAAUUUUGACCCAACUAGUCAUUCGGGUCAGGCCAGGUCUAUAUAAAACCCAGCCCUAACUUAAAAAAUUUGAGUCCAAAUCAAAUCCGGGUU